UACGUAAGUGGCGAGCGUUAUCCGGAAUUACUGGGCGUAAAGCGUUCGUAGGCGGCGUGGUAAGUUGGGUUUGAAAGCCCGGGGCUCAACUCCGGACCCGGAUCCAAAACUACCAUGCUUGAGCGUAUCAGGGGGCAGCGGAAUUCCCGGUGUAGCGGUAAUAUGCGUAGAUAUCGGGAGGAACACCAGUGGCGAAGGCGGCUGCCUGGGGUAUUGCUGACGCUGAGGAACGAAGGCCAGGGGAGCGAACGGG
rnacentral:rRNA from 1 species